ACAGGAGGCGCAGGAGAGGCCCGGGCUUCUAAAGGACACCAACAGGUGGGAGGCCGCUUAGGAGGGGGGCGCUCCUGGCGGGAUAGAAAAGGCCGGUCUGCAAGGCCUGUAGUGAGCACAAUCCACCGGGCCAGAUAUGGAGGAGGAUGGUUGAUCGCAGAAGGUGAAGAGAGGCGAGGGGCAGGAGGAAGCUCAGGGAGAGUUUGAGAUGAGUUUUGGCGUCAAAGGGUGGAAAGGGCAGCUUCAGUAAGGUUUGUCUCAGAGUUCAGUCUUUAAAAAAAAACUCUGUUUUUUGCCAACUUUUUGUAGAAAGCUUCACUUUUUUUGGUUUAGUGUAAAACAAUUAAUAUUUGACAUCCACAUGUGGACAGUGCAGUGAUGUGGUAAUCUGAAUCAAUAGUCUUCCAGAUUCAGAUGUCGUAGACUUUUCCAUGACCUGCAGCACCAUGUGAGUGAAAUCAGGCGUCAAAGCAAAUGUUAGAUGUUUAGAUUUACGAUAGACACGCUGUGGCAGAGCCUGACACCUCUGUCAGGUUAGGGGAAGAUGAGGUGUGAUACAGGAAAGAAUCAGGGAAUUAUCUUCACAGUUUAAUUAGAGUAGAAGGUUGAGUUUCUCAUGGCCAUGUUGUUCAGAUCUGGUUAAAAUAGCAGCAUGUAGAUAUAUUGGGGAAGUCACCAGUAGACAGAGUAGGAGAGGCUGGCUGAACCCAAUGUUGCCUCAAGCUCAACUCCAGCUUCAGAAAACCACAAGAGGAGAUGCAGGAGCAUUAAAUAAAGGUAAGGCUGAAGAGGACAUGAAGGCCACACAGAAGAUGUCCACCUUCCAUUUCCUCUCUUUCUACUCUCCCAUAUCCUUCUAUUUCUACGUCCUUUACCUCCUGUACCCUGCCCUCCUUCCUCCUGCUGUCACUGCCCUUUGCAGCCGAAGCAACACACCUUGCUGUGGCUGGUCAAACGGAACCAAGUCAGGUGUUUCUGUGAGGUUUGGUCCCCUUCAACCAGCUACUGCGUCGUGAAUUCAUUCAGCGUGGAAUCAAGGACACAGUGGCAUUGUGUUGUAUGUUUUAAAGAGGUGUUAGUUUAUUGAAAGUGAUGUUAUUUAUUUUCUUUUGUAGUUUUGGUUUCCUGCAUGGUAAUUUAUGUUUGAAAAAGCAAAUGAAUUAUUUCUUACAACAUCAAGUGUUAAAUUAAAUGUAUUCUGAAUGUAUAAAGUGAUAACCAAAUGUGAAAUAUGUUUUGUAGAGUCAACUUUCCCUAUACAAGCCCAUUUAAAAAUAUUUUUGUGUAUGUUUGUAGGGGUUUUCUUCCAUUUAUUAUUUAUAGUUGUAUAAAAUGUGUAGCAUUUGUCCAAGUGUUACUAGUAUAAUGAGAAGUCAUUAUGUACACUCAAUGUCUGAUAUAACAUUCUGCGUUGUCUCAAAUAAAAACGUGAUUCAUACA